ACGGGUUGGCUCAGUGGUUAGAACGUAGUCUCGUAACCGCAAGGCUGCGGGUUCGAAUCUCGCUAGAGGCUGAA
rnacentral:tRNA from 1 species